rnacentral:rRNA from 1 species
CUAUACAUGACUCUGCGCAUAUCAAUAAGCGGAGGAAAAGAAACUAACAAGGAUUCCCUUAGUAACGGCGAGUGAAGCGGGAAGAGCUCAAAUUUGAAAUCUUCAAGGUUCUACCUUGACGAAUUGUAGUUUAUAAGAAGUGUUUUCUGUUAGUAGAGUGGCAAAAGUUCUUUGGAAUAGGACAUCAUAGAGGGUGAGAAUCCCGUAUUUGGUCAUUCCUUUCUAGCUUUGUGAUACACUUUCAGAGAGUCGGAUUGUUUGGGAAUGCAGUCCAAAAUGGGUGGUAAAUUUCAUCUAAAGCUAAAUACUGGCGAGAGACCGAUAGCGAACAAGUACCGUGAGGGAAAGAUGAAAAGAACUUAGAAAAGAGAGUUAAACAGUACGUGAAAUUGUCAAAAGGGAAGCGUUCGACACCAGUGCUGUUUUUCCGAAAAUCAAUUAUAAUGGCUUGAUUUAAGUUGUCAUGACCUUAAUAGGCUUUUGCUUAGUUUUCUAUGUCUUUCGUGAAUGCACUUUUCGGUUAACAAGUCAACAUCAAUUUCUUUUGUUGUAAAAAGGUUAAGAGGAAGGUGGCUUUAAGCUUUCGGGUAAGUGUUUAUAGCCUUUUACCUCUGCAGUCGGAGAGAUUGAGGUCUGCAGCGUAGAUCCUUCGGGUUAGAUACAUUUGUGCUAAGUUAUAGCUUUUCAUAGACAACUUGUUGACUAUGUUUAGUCUUGUGACUUACUCGCUUACGCUAUUUUACCUACGCUUAGGAUGUUGAUAUGCAUGACUGAUAU